GGUAGCUUAACCUUCGGGAGGGCGCUUACCACUUUGUGAUUCAUGACUGGGGUGAAGUCGUAACAAGGUAACCGUAGGGGAACCUGCGGUUGGAUCACCUCCUUACCUAAGAGA
rnacentral:rRNA from 1 species